CGAAUUGCUUUGGAAAUUAGCGGGAAUAUUUCUUUUUAUGAUAGUACAAGUUGUUACUUUAACAUUAGUUGUUUAUGGGCAAUAUUUUAUAACGGAAAUUGAAAAUUUGAAUACGUGUCUGUAUUUUUGUCCGUGGCACCUGUGGAAUGUUGAAAACAGAAAGACACUGUUGUUGUUGCUGGUUAUGACAGCUAAUCCAAAAGCGUUUCACCUUUCAACGAUUGUCACUGUUGAUUAUCGUCUAAUAAGUCAGAUAUUCAAACAUGUUUAUACGAUGGGAUCAUUCUACAUCAAUCAAAGAAGUUAAAAACCAGUUAAGUGUCACAUCACACAUAUCGAAUAAAUUAUAAGUUUCUGAUGCACUGUAGUAAAAAAAUGUAACAAUAAUAUUAAAUCAAUCUGUUCAAUAAUAUUCGUUUAUAAAAUCAAAAUUGUAAAUCUAAGUAGAAAUAAAGCA